rnacentral:rRNA from 1 species
UACGUAGGGGGCAAGCGUUGUCCGGAUUCAUUGGGCGUAAAGAGCGUGUAGGCGGCCAGGUAGGUCGGUUGUGAAACUGGAGGCUCAACCUUCAGAGGUCGACCGAAACCAUCUGGCUAGAGUCCGGGAGAGGAGAGUGGAACUGCGAGUGUAGAGGUGAAAUUCGUAGAUAUUCGCAAGAACACCAGUGGCGAAGGCGGCUCACUGGCCCGGUACUGACGCUGAGGUGCGAAAGCGUGGGAGCAAACAGG